rnacentral:pre_miRNA from 1 species
AGGGGGAGGCGGGAUCCUGGGCUGUGUUCCGGUGCCCAGUGCUCCCGGGCCUGCACUGUUGGAUUCGCCCUCUGGCUGCGCAGCCCCCU